rnacentral:rRNA from 1 species
UAAGUGGGCUUGAUUGUGGGGAAAACUCCACAGUUAAGCGCGCUUGAGCCAGAGGCGUCUUGGGAUGGGUGACCACUUGGGAAGUCCUGGUUACCGGGUGCA